GACCCGUCUUNAAGCACGGACCAAGGAGUCCAACAUGUGCGCGAGUCUAAGGGUUUUUGAAACCUGGAGGCGAAAUGAAAGUGAGCUCCUUUUGGGGCAGGCCGAUCCCUUGUCAUGAACUGGGCUGUGGAGUGCCAGAGUGAUCUGCUUGAUUGUGGAUUGUUUGGUGUUGUGCAGCUUUAGUGAGUGGCGGUCUUCCUUGGGGAGAUAUUGGGCGCAGGCCGAGGACUUGCCAUAGUGCGGCGCGGGCAACGGGUUGUUCUUUCGAGGGCUUCCUUAUCCCGAUGUCCGUGGGCAAGUACCUGAGAGCGCAGCCGUUGGGACCCGAAAGAUGGUGAACUAUGCCUGGCGAGGACGAAGCCAGAGGAAACUCUGGUGGAGGUCCGAAGCAGUUCUGACGUGCAAAUCGAUUGUCAGAGCUGGGUAUAGGGGCGAAAGACUAAUCGAACCAUCUAGUAGCUGGGUUCCCUUCCGAA
rnacentral:rRNA from 1 species